ACAUUGGUGGUUCAGUGGUAGAAUUCUCACCUUCCAUGUAGGAGGCUCAGGUUCAAUUCUGGCCAGUGCA
rnacentral:tRNA from 1 species